AUAAUUGAGGCCCUGUUAAUAUUGUUUUAAUAUUAGAACGUUGUUCGUCAAUCCGUAAUCGCAAUGAAAAUUUCUCCCAUUGUGUUCUUGUCCUGGCUCCAAAGUGCCAAAUAUGCCAAUUGAUUAUUCCAACGAUCUUUGUAGAACGUGCACUUCCUACUGCGGCAGAAACCCGUGACAAAUUGCUGUACAUUGAACCUUGAAAUAAUUGCGCACGUUUCAUUUAUCGAACUCCAUUAUCAUCGAGAGAAAUCAUGUUCAAUACAUAUAUGCUACGAUUAGAUAGUAGCUACAAAGAAUAUAUUAGACCCCCUUAAAAUAUUUCAUCAUUAAGAACGUUGUUAAUCCUUCAUUCUAUAAUCGCAAUGGAAUUUCAAUAUUUUGGUUAUUAUUUUCCUAAAAUAAAAUAUAUUUAUAUACAGUUUC
rnacentral:sRNA from 1 species